GAUGAACGCUGGCGGCGUGCCUAAUACAUGCAAGUCGAGCGAACAGACGAGGAGCUUGCUCCUCUGACGUUAGCGGCGGACGGGUGAGUAACACGUGGAUAACCUACCUAUAAGACUGGGAUAACUUCGGGAAACCGGAGCUAAUACCGGAUAAUAUAUUGAACCGCAUGGUUCAAUAGUGAAAGACGGUUUUGCUGUCACUUAUAGAUGGAUCCGCGCCGCAUUAGCUAGUUGGUAAGGUAACGGCUUACCAAGGCGACGAUGCGUAGCCGACCUGAGAGGGUGAUCGGCCACACUGGAACUGAGACACGGUCUAGACUCCUACGGGAGGCAGCAGUAGGGAAUCUUCCGCAAUGGGCGAAAGCCUGACGGAGCAACGCCGCGUGAGUGAUGAAGGUCUUCGGAUCGUAAAACUCUGUUAUUAGGGAAGAACAAAUGUGUAAGUAACUAUGCACGUCUUGACGGUACCUAAUCAGAAAGCCACGGCUAACUACGUG
rnacentral:rRNA from 1 species